GACGAACGCUGGCGGCGUGCUUAACACAUGCAAGUCGAACGGAAAGGCCCUGCUUUUGUGGGGUGCUCGAGUGGCGAACGGGUGAGUAACACGUGAGUAACCUGCCCUUGACUUUGGGAUAACUUCAGGAAACUGGGGCUAAUACCGGCUAGGAGCUCCUGCUGCAUGGUGGGGGUUGGAAAGUUUCGGCGGUUGGGGAUGGACUCGCGGCUUAUCAGCUUGUUGGUGGGGUAGUGGCUUACCAAGGCUUUGACGGGUAGCCGGCCUGAGAGGGUGACCGGCCACAUUGGGACUGAGAUACGGACCAGACUCCUACGGGAGGCAGCAGUGGGGAAUAUUGAACAAUGGGCGGAAGCCUGAUGCAGCAACGCCGCGUGCGGGAUGACGGCCUUCGGGUUGUAAACCGCUUUCGCCUGUGACGAAGCGUGAGUGACGGUAAUGGGUAAAGAAGCACCGGCUAACUACGUG
rnacentral:rRNA from 1 species